CGGCCUGGAGAUUUACCCCGGUUUUCUAAUCCGAGGGUCGGGGGUUCGAGUCCCUCCACGCCUGCCA
rnacentral:tRNA from 1 species